GGAGGGAGGAAGCUCUGAGGACAGAAUUCUCGGAAAGUUUGGCUGAAAAGAUGAAAUUAACGAUAAGCAGGCAAAAAUUGAACAAGCUGAGAAUCAUCUAAUGAGUUUGCGUUUGGAGCUGAAGGCUGCCGACUCGAAACUGAAGAACUAUGACUUGGAAGCUUCGACCUUAAAACUUGAAAUCAAGGAUUUGAGUGUGAGGUUAGAUUCUGUUAAGGCCACAGCUCAAUCAUACGAGAGAGAAGCAAGGAUAAUGGAACAAGAAAAGACUCACCUGGAGCAGAAGUAUCAAUCCGAGUUCAAAAGGUUCUAGGAAGCAGAUGAAAGGUGCCGGGCUGCAGAAAAUGAAGCAAAAAGAGCGGUUGAUUUGGCUGAUAAAGCUCGGGAGGAAGCAGCACUUGCUCAAAGUGAAAAGAGCGAAGUUCAGCGACUGGUGAUGGAAAGAUUAACCCAAAUCAAGAGAGCUCACGGGCAAGUUGAAAGCCUUGAAAGAUGGAAAGCUGACCUGAUAGAUGAGGUCGAAUGUUUGUGCCGCUCUGAAAUGGAUGUUGUGUCCAAGGUUGAAUUUCUAGAAAAGCAGGUCGAAGAAAGAGAGAGAGAUUUAAUCACUGCUUGAGUCGAACCCUCAAACCUCUGCAAUGUGUUUGGACAGAUUGCAUCAGUGUGCUGUCUGGUGAACUGGUGUUAAAAUCUCACCUUGUUUUUUUUCGAGCUUAUUACGACUAUUUUAAGUAUAAAUACUAAUGGUGGAACUUUUUUAAUUCACGAAUUAUUAAAAAUUAAGUUGGGUCAUGACUUUGAUGAACCUGAACUGGCUGAACAUCUGAAUUGAGCCAAAAUUUCAAGUUUUUGAACUAUAUUUUUACCGUAAUGGAUGUUGGGUGAGAGCGUUUGUGUC